rnacentral:rRNA from 1 species
AGUGAACGCUGGCGGUAGGCCUAACACAUGCAAGUCGAACGGCAGCACAGUAAGAGCUUGCUCUUACGGGUGGCGAGUGGCGGACGGGUGAGGAAUACAUCGGAAUCUACUUUUUCGUGGGGGAUAACGUAGGGAAACUUACGCUAAUACCGCAUACGACCUACGGGUGAAAGCAGGGGAUCUUCGGACCUUGCGCGAUUGAAUGAGCCGAUGUCGGAUUAGCUAGUUGGCGGGGUAAAGGCCCACCAAGGCGACGAUCCGUAGCUGGUCUGGGAGGAUGAUAGGCCACACUGGAACUGAGCCACGGUCCAGACUCCUACGGGAGGCAGCAGUGGGGAAUAUUAGACAAUGGGCGCAAGCCUUAUCCAGCCAUACCGCGUGGGUGAAGAAGGCCUUCGGGUUGUAAAGCCCUUUUGUUGGGAAAGAAAAGCAGCAGGUUAAUACCCCGCUGUUCUGACGGUACCCAAAGAAUAAGCACCGGCUAACUUCGUG